AUACCGUAGUACCAUCGAAGAAGCCUCAAGAUCUUUAUUUUAUUUUUUAUUAUUUUGAUUUUUUUUUUGUGUGUGUGGUCUUUCCAUGACGAAGAACGAAAUUCAGUUUCCAGGUACCAAGAAGUUGCUUACACGACACUGAGCCCUUUCAGCUCUGCUGUUUAUUUAUACUUAUCGAUUUACUUACCUUAAAUGUCAUACCGGCAUCACAACAUGAAAUAUUAAACGACGUCAGAUCUCAUUCUCAUUUACUCUUUCAGCAUAAGAUUUAUUUCUUGUUUUAUAUAUAUAUAUAUAUAUAUAUAUAUAUAUAUAUAUAUAUAUAUAUAUAUAUAUAUAUAUGUUUGUGUGUGGGUGUGUGUGUGUGUGUGUGUGUUACCCUGAUUUUUCAUGCACUAAGUAUCAGUUACCCGCACCCCACUUGUACCUCAAAUGCACGCCAAGACAGCGCGGAAAUAUUUACUUUUUCUGAUAUCCAAGGAGGUCAGAGUUUGGACAACAGAUUUUGUUUUUAUAUGAACUGCCUUGAUGUUUCCAACCAAACUGUUAUCAACUCCAUAGCAAUAAGUAUGACUACGUUUGUUAUGCAACGAUAAUUACAACAUUAUCUCCGUAACGUCAAGCAAGAGUUACAUAUUAAUAUGGACAAACAAAAUGAUAAAUAAAUCUUCAGUUGAAUAUGAUUGCUGCAACAGCAUUACUAUAUAAGAUCAGUUAAAUAGGACUAGUGUCUCGGCAAUCUACUCUUCAAGUGAUGUACUACUACAUGAAAAUGGGAUUCAGACCUGCCAUCGAUGACGAGAAAAUAAAAAUGUGAUAAAUAGCCAUUUAAUUUCUCAUCAUUUAUAUUUGCAUUUCAAGCUGAACUAACGAUAGCUCGUUGAGAAUCCCUUAUUCAAGAUACCUUCGGAUCUGGUAGUGUUGUGUAGUGUUUAAUCAAUUUUCAUUGUUGUUAUCAUCUCCAGCGUCCUCCAUAAUUGAAAUCUAAUGCUGAUGGCUUUUCAGUCCAAGUGUGACUAAACUACCUUUUUAUUAUUAUUAUUAUUAUGAUAAAUUCAUAGAGCUCAUCAACUUCUUUAAGCGCAGUAGUUACGUUGAAAAGAGAAAAUAUCACAUACGUGCGAAAUUAGAAAGAAAUAAACUUAUAACUGUAAAAAAGAAAAAAAAAAAACAUUUAAGAAGACUGGCUCUCUUACCAGACGACAACCCAUAAAAUUCAAGUUCCAGUGUUGUCAUAAGACAACCAAAUUACCAAAAUACUCGUGCGUUUGCUCCAGCGAUGUCGUAUGUGUGUUUUGGAUUUGUGUGCAUUUUGGAAUGUUGGUGUGGUGUUUCCCAGUGCAUGACACAAGUCUCUACGUCUUCCGUAGUUCAACCACCUGGACUGGUUGGCCCUGAAGAUUUGUUCUCAUGAUGAAAAUGGGAAGAAGCUAAAGAUAAUAAAGUUGGACAGCUAGUAGGAAGCUCAACAGAGGGAGAUGAAAUGCUCAAGGCUGAAAAAAUUAAGCUAGGACAGAGAAUGCUGCAUCAACCACACAAAAAAGACAGACAGUUAACUUGGUUACAUUGCCAAGUCUUCUCAGAAGAUGGAAAAAUGUUUGUUUGUCAGAUGAUGAAAGUGCUCUCUCAAAAUGCUGCAGACUCAGGACCAGUGCUUCCUCUACAUCACAUGCAAACUUCAACCUUUU